rnacentral:lncRNA from 1 species
ACAAAUACAAAAAAAAAAGUGAUUAAACUGUGUUCACAUUUAACGCCAAAAUCAAAUGAAAUAAAACGAAGCCUGUGAGAAGACUUUCGACUUUUAAGUUAAGUUAUCCCUCAAAUCUCAUUCGAAUUACUGUAAUGUGAAAAAUAAUUUUGUCUCGACACUUACCGCCACCUGUCUAUUGGUUUCUCUGUCUGAAAAGACGCUUCACAAACACUUAUGAAUGAACCAUAUCAGAAUAACGUGUCAGUUUAUUUAUAACCGUUCCCACAGUCUUCAGCUGAGCGUCAAAUCUUUAGUUUGUUUACAAUAACCGAAUAAAAUAACGAAACUUCAACAUGUCUCUUCUCUAAACCGUCUGAUAAUUUGUCCACACAAGCCAGUUUUAUUUUACUCGGACGUCAUAAACAUUUAAACUUACCUUAAACCCCGAAUAAUACCAAAGCUGUAGUGCAUUGAUGAAGAAUAAACUCCAGACCAGACGCGCCUCCGCUCAGCGCGCAGAGAGACGAGGACGACGCGCAUGCGCACGGACGGAAUCAUUAGAAUCACAGACACGCGCCUACAUCUGAAAAACAGAGUUUUUGGUCGCUAAAGACUCGGAGAAGCAUAAAAAAGAAUACAGAUAUUUUACAGUAGGCUUGUGAACGUGUAAAAUGAUCUAACUUGAAAUGUUAACACAAGUUCUUGAACGUAAUUCCAAGAGAUUCACUCUCAAAAAGUGCAGGAUGGAUUACAUGGAUCAAUUCUGUUCUAAUCCUGGAUCACCCCUGACCCCUCAUGAUCUCUUCAGGGACAUUCCUCCUCUAAACCUGAAGCUCCCAAACACAGAGGACCUGUGGAACGUGUAAAAUGAUCUAACUUGAAAUGUUAACACACGUCCUUGAACGUAAUUCCAGGAGAUUCACUCAAAAGGUGCAGGAUGAAUUACAGUACAUGGAUCAUUUCUGUUCUAAUCCUGGAUCACCCCUGACCCCUCAUGAUCUCUUCAGGGACAUUCCUCCUCUAAACCUGAAGCUCCCAAACACAGAGGACCUGUGGUCCAGCUGCGAGGAGAGGAUGAAUCUUCCACUCUGAUGCUUGUGACCCUCAAAGACCCUCCAGCUCCUUCAGCUCUUUUUCUCUCCCCCAGCUGCUGUUUCUUCUCAAAGUCCAUGACCACAGACACACCCUGGUCCUCGAGCCAAAUGCUCUCACUGCCCACACUGGCUUCCCGCAACACUUUUACAAACUUCUCACAGCGUUUAUGCAACUUUUAAUAGCGUCUGCGUACUGCCACUCAGGGUUUAUGAAGCCUCAAACUCUCCAGAC